GAUAAUCAAAUCUAGUCCAAGGAAUGGUGGAGGCAUAUUUUAUGAAAUUUUAGUAGGCAUAAGCAUAAACAACUUACAUUCUGAAUAGCUUCAUCAGACUAUCAUUUAAAGGGUUCCUAAGAACAUAUUUCUCAGAAUGAAGAAAGUAAUGAGGACCACUGAAGACAGGGAGGCGUGGAGACAGCUGUCUUAUCGACACGCAUGAUGAGUUGCGAUAAAGGAUAUUAUUUAUUAUUUCAUGUUUCUAUUUCUUCAAUAAAAUCAAUUGUUCUGAAAA